GUGGAUUCAUUAUCUGUAUUUAAAGAUGAAAUUAGCUGAAAGCAUAUUACAGCAUUUGAGUGUUCAAGUCCCAGUUCAUAAAAAUUUUAUUCUCACUUCAGUUAGAAUCUUCCUGCACUGUGUGCUGGAAAGGAACUUGCCCUGAGGCAUAAAUGCAUUGCACAGCUAAUUCCACACGUCUUCUAAUGAAUGAGAAUCAGCCACAUAUUCACGGCUCUGCAGCAAAGGUGGGGAUAGGUGAGAUGAGGCAUGCUAGCAGUGUGAAAAGGUGUCUCUUUCCUUUUCUUUGAGGCACAACCUUGUGAGACAGUGGAACCCACACAUCUUGAAGCAAACUCUGCUGAUUUGCUAAAGCUUAUUAAAAAGGAUUAGCACGCCUUCUAAUACUGAUCACGCUCGAUACGCACUGGUGCUUUAGACUGCUGAAAUGCUACUUCAAAAAGCUUCCACAAGGAAAGACCACGAAUCUCAGUUCUUCUGGAAUGUGCCUCCUGAAAAGAUGUAGUUUAGGACCACUACCUCUCCAUGUCCUCUGUGGGCACUUGAGAGAUCAGCCAAAAGGAGCAGACAACAGGCACAAGGAGAAGAGCUGAAGCCCACACUGAAGAGGAACACUAUGUGGCAAGCACAGCUUUAAAGAGAUGUUGCCAAGAUGGCACAGAUUUGGAAAAUAAAUUAAUUUUUGUACGGGAGGAAAAAUAAAAUAAAGAAAAGAACCCUCGAGAGACUAAACAAAUGGAAAAUGAAGGAAAACAGUAGAUAACAGAGCUGAUUCCUCUGAAGGAGAAAGGCGACUGAUCCACCAAAUCUCUUUGCUUCUCUCUUUAAUCUUCUCAAGAGGCAGCUUUUCUGGAAUGCAUAUUAAGA